CCUGCGCUUCGCCGAGGUUGGCAUCAAGGUUUUGGGCUUUGACAUCGAUGAAGCCAAGGUCCUUACCCUUGGCGAAGGC
rnacentral:tRNA from 1 species